AUACGUAGGUGACAAGCGUUAUCCGGAUUUACUGGGCGUAAAGGGCGUGUAGGCGGUCUUGCAAGUCAGAAGUGAAAUUCCUGAGCUCAACUCGGGCGCUGCUUCUGAAACUGCAGGACUUGAGUGCUGGAGGGGAUAGCGGAAUUCCUAGUGGAGCGGUAAAAUGCGCAGAUAUUAGGAAGAACACCGGUGGCGAAGGCGGCUAUCUGGACAGUAACUGACGCUGAGGCGCGAAAGCGUGGGGAGCAAACAGGAUUAGAUACCCUGGUAGUCCACACUGUAAACGAUGAAUGCUAGGUGUAGGGGGUAUCGACCCCUUCUGUGCCGCAGUCAACACAAUAAGCAUUCCGCCUGGGGAGUACGGCCGCAAGAUUGAAACUUAAAGGAAUUGACGGGG
rnacentral:rRNA from 1 species